UCAAAGAUUAAGCCAUGCAUGUGUCAGUAUAAGCAACUUGUACGUGUCGAAACUGCGAAUGGCUCAUUAUAUCAGUUAUAAUUUAUUUGAUAAUUGUGGGAAGUUGAUUUUUACUAGAUGGAUAGCCGUAGUAAUUCUAGAGCUAAUACAUGCAAUAUUAAUGCCUGACUCUUCGGGGGAGGGCUGUAUUUAUUAGAGCGAAAACCAGUCAUAAAGAUUGGUGAAUCAUGAUAAACUUGUCGAAUCGCAGUUUACUGCGAUGUAUCAUUGAAAUUUCUGGCCUAUCAACUUGACUUAAGGGUAGAUUCCUUAAGUGGUAUUGACGGGUAACGGAGAAUUAGGGUUCGAUUCCGGAGAGGGAGCCUGAGAGACAGCUCCCACUUCUAAGGAAGGCAGCAGGCGCGCAAAUUACCCAAUCCCAGCCAAGCUGGGGAGGUAGUGACAAAAAAUACCGAUGCGGGGCAGUUUACUGUCUUGCAAUUGGAAUGGCCCAAACGUAAAUGCUUUGGGGAGUAACCAUUAGAGGGCAAGUCUGGUGCCAGCAGCCGCGGUAAUUCCAGCUCUAAUAGUGUAUACUAAAAUUGCUGCAGUUAAAAAGCUCGUAGUUGGAUUCUGGGAAGGGAGGUUGGUGCUGUUAGCCGUGUUGGUGCUUGCCCGUGCGGGCGGGUAGUAUUGGCAGUACAGCGGGUGUUAAGGGGUUCAUGCCGGGUGGCAGGGUUGUGUUUUGGCGGGUACUUCGCUUUGCGUUUGGUGGGGGCUUGUUCGAGUCCUUGCUGGGUGCAGGGUUCUGGUGCUUUAGCCGGGAUGCUUUGUCCUUGUUACUUUAAGUGUGUUCACAACCUGGCAUUGCAGUUGGCUGUUGGUCUCUCGCUGCGGUGCGGGUGUACGGCGCCAAUGCGGUGGGUGCUAGUCUUUCUUCUUUUGAUACAUUUUCCGAAUCAAUGUUCUCCCCUUCAGUGUGGCGAGGGCAUUUGAUCGGAGGGUUUACUUUGAAGAAAAUGGAGUGUUCAAAGCAAGACGUAUACGUCUAGAACACAUUAGCAUGGAAUAAUAAAAUAGGAUAAUGCAGGAGCCUGCAUGUUUUUAUUGGUUUUGUAACCAAAUGGGCAUUUGCGUUAUAAUGAUUAUAAGGGACAGUUGGGGGGCAUGGGUAUUGCAUUGUCAGAGGUGGAAUUCUUAGAUUUAUGCAAGACCAACUAAUGCGAAAGCAUUUGCCAAGGAUGUUUUCAUUAAUCAAGAACGAAAGUUAGGGGAUCGAAGGCGAUUAGAAACCGCUCUAGUCCUAACUAUAAACGAUGCCAACUAGGGAUUGAUGGGUUUUAAUAGCAUUAUAAUUGCUCCUGUCAGGACCUUAUGAGAAAUCAAAGUCUCUGGGUUCUGGGGGGAGUAUGGUCGCAAGGCUGAAACUUAAAGAAAUUGACGGAAGGGCACCACCAGGUGUGGAGCCUGCGGGCUUAAUUUUGACUCAACACGGGGAAACUUACCCAGGUCCCAGACAUGGAAGGAUUGACAGAUUGAUAGCUCUUUUCUUGAUUCCCAUGGGUGGUGGUGCAUGGUCGUUUCUUAGUUGGUGGAGUGAUUUGUCUGGUUAAUUCCGAUAACGAACGAGACCUCAACCUGCUAACUAACCCCUUCAAUUGUAUUGGGUUCGAUGCCUCGUAGGAGGGGUUCGCUGGGUUGCUUUUGGCUUAGCGCAUGGAGGGGAAACUCUUUGUGUGUUAGGUUGGAGGUAGUUUGGCGGGCUUUUAUUCUGCGGGGAUAGGCUCAGGGUGAUUGAAUGAGGCCUUUAUGGUCAGGCGGGUGCGGUUGGCUUGUGCAUGUCUUCGGGUGUGUGCAGGUUGGCUGUAUCCGUUGUGGGUUACUUAGAGGGACAACCAUGGUUUGUACAUGGGCGGAAGUUUGAGGCAAUAACAGGUCUGUGAUGCCCUUAGAUGUCCUGGGCCGCACGCGCGCUACAAUGAUAGAGUCAACAAGUUUUGACGGUAGGUUCGUAGGUUUCUACGGGCAUAUCGUCAAUACCUGAUUCGAAAGAAUAUCUUUAAUUGGGUAAUCUUUUGAACCUCUAUCGUGCUGGGGAUUGAUCUUUGUAAUUAUGGAUCAUGAACGAGGAAUACCUAGUAAGUGCAAGUCAUCAGCUUGCGCUGAUUACGUCCCUGCCCUUUGUACACACCGCCCGUCGCUCCUACCGAUUGAAUGAUCAGAUGAAAUGUUCGGAUUGUGUGGUUGCAGCUGGGGGGGUAACUUCUCAGUAGUGAUCAUGCGAGAAGAAUAGUGAAUCUUAUUAUUUAGA
rnacentral:rRNA from 1 species